ensembl:lncRNA
CUCUACACGGACACAUACAACGCCAAAGAAUGCAAAAACUGUGGAGACUGCGACAAGGAAAACAUGGAGGAGGUUGUGUCGUGUCGCUCCACUCACGCCAUCGAGUGUCGGUGCAAAGCAGGAUUUAACUGCGGAGACGACGAGUGCAGCUACUGUACAGAGACCCCAGCCACAGCAGCGCCCUCUACUGCCACCAGAGGAACUACAGCUGCCUCUACAAACUCCACCCAAGAUACCGUCUGGUUCAUGAUCAUCAUCUGUCUCUUGUGUUUGGGCAUCGCUCUGGUGAUUCUGACGAAGAUGAAGACUCUGCUCCUCCGCCUCGUAAACAGUAAAAGUGUUAAAUUUAAAAUCCAAGAGGAAGAGGGGGAAGAGGAGAAAGAGGAGGAGCCAUCUACCCCCGUCCAGGAGGUGUGCGGCAAAUGUGACCAGCUCAUCGACGUCUGAAACACCAGUGUGUCCAUCUCAUCGACGUCUGAAACACCAGUGUGUCCAUCUCAUCAACGUCUGAAACACCAGUGUGUCCAUCUCAUCGACGUCUGAAACACAAGUGUGUCCAUCUCAUCAACGUCUGAAACACAAGUGUGUCCAUCUCAUCAACGUCUGAAACACAAGUGUGUCCAUCUCAUCGACGUCUGAAACACAAGUGUGUCCAUCUCAUCGACGUCUGAAACACAAGUGUGUCCAUCUCAUCGACGUCUGAAACACAAGUGUGUCCAUCUCAUCGACCUGUGACUCAAAACUAAACCAUG